CCGCCUGCCCUGUGACUAUAUGUUUAACGGCCGCGGUAUUUUGACCGUGCGAAGGUAGCGCAAUCACUUGUCUUUUAAAUGGAGACCUGUAUGAAAGGCAUCACGAGGGCUUAGCUGUCUCCCCUUUAAAGUCAAUGAAAUUGAUCUCCCCGUGCAGAAGCGGGGAUAUACUCGUAAGACGAGAAGACCCUAUGGAGCUUAAGAUAAAAGGCGAGUCAUGUCAAACACCCCCCAAAGGAAAUGAACGAAAUGAUACCCCGCUGGAAUGUCUUCGGUUGGGGCGACCGCGGGGAAAGACAAAACCCCCACAUGGACCAGGGCCACUAUAGCCCUAAAACCUAGACCCACAGGUCAAGUCAACAGUAAAUCUGACCACCAAAGAGCCGGCAAUGCCGAUCAACGGACCGAGUUACCCUAGGGAUAACAGCGCAAUCCCCUCCCAGAGCCCUUAUCGACGAGGGGGUUUACGACCUCGAUGUUGGAUCAGGACAUCCUAAUGGUGCAGCCGCUAUUAAGGGUUCGUUUGUUCAACGAUUAAAGUCCUACGUGA
rnacentral:rRNA from 1 species